CUGAGGCCCCGCCCCAAGAACGAGCUCCACCCUGCACGCCCCCUCGCCCCCGCAACAAGCUCCACCCUGCACGUCGCCCCGCCCCCCAAACAAGCACCACCCUGCACGCCGCCCCGCCCCUCUGAUAAUAAGGAGGCGCGCCUUGGCUCUGCGCUGUUGGAGGCUGGGCUGGGACAGGUGCUGCAUCGAGCAGUGGAGGAGCCCUCCUCCCGCAAGCCUGGUGUGUAUCCAGAUUAAAACAAAGGAGGAUCCGUAACAUGCUGCUUAGCAACAAAAAGGAAUGAGCUGUGGAUCCACUCGACAGCCGGCUUGAAUCCCCAUGGAAUUACACUGAGUGAAAAAAGCCAAUCCCAAAAGAUGGUGCGGCCUUGCCACAGCAUCCCCCACGCUGUGACCCUGUCAGACAGCGGGUUCAGGAACACCUUCACCAGGUAGAGACCUCAGCAGCCAGACAGGAAGAUCAGAAAUGUGAGGUCUGUUUCUCCAACCAAGGUGAAGAGCAAAGCUUUACCAUAUUUAUUUGGCACACUUUGAGAAGAGUAUACUAAAGUGACUGACUAGCAAAACUGCAAAAUGCAUACAGCAUUUUAAAGAUCUGAUCUGAUACUGGAAACUUUCCUGUUGAAGUUUGAUUAUUUUUAUCUUGUGUUAUUUUGGAAACUGCUGUAAAAAUGGUCUAAGGUGGAGGGAAGAUCUCAAUUAUUUAAUAAAAAAUUGGAGUGACGAUUGAGAGCCUGCCUUAAGAAUGCCUUCCGCAAGCACAGACUAAACAUGGUACCCAAUGUUAGUGUUACUUGUGGCUCUGACUGGUCUGCGGGUAGUGCCUUAGCAAAAUCAAGGGUUUUUAGCAAUGAUCUGAAAGGGCAAAUUGGAAUGGACCAGCAGAUGCGAUGUGAAGUUUCUCUGCCUGUGGGACCUCGGGCACAGCCAGUGCCAGCACCUGAUGCUGACCUUGGCCCCAGGAGGGCUGGGGUGGGGGGCCCUGUGCAUUGGCUUCCCACCCUGAGGCCAGGCCCGGAUUUUCCAGCUUCCUGAACUUGACCUUCCUCCGAGCCUUCUCCUGGAUACUUGGCGCCUCUGGCACUGCUGCAGUGGUGGGGGAUGCUAGCAAACUUGGCACCUUGUCCUGGAAAUCACCGUCUAAUCCGAGAAUGGAUAGAUAAAACUGCCUAGGCGGCUGGUGCUUUGAAGGAAAUGGCGCUGAGACAGAAACUAGCAGAUGGGCCACCACAGGGUAUACAGAGUGUCUCACUUGACCCUCUUCUGUGCCCACCCUGGGCCCCAGGUGAUUCAUCCUCCCAAGUGAUCCUUUUCUUAGGCCAUCUUCCCACAGCUCCUGGCUCCCUGGACUCCAGCUCUUCCUGACCCUGUCCCCAGCUGCGUUCCUCUGAGCCUCAACCCCAAGAGCUCCUGGGCCCAUCCCACAGGGCCUCAGACCUUUUGUGCCUCUGGCCAUCCUUCCUGGCCCCAAUCCUUAGGGCCCAGCCUCAUACACCCCUGCCACCCGUGCCCCGAUCUCCACCCCUUAGCCCCAGCACCAGGGCCUUAGCCCUAUGAUCCCCAAAUCCGCAGCUCUGUCCGCCUUGGUCCCCAGCCGGGUCCUCCCUGGCUCUUCCCAGCAUGAGGAGAUGGGACUCAGACGCACUGGAGGAGGACUCCGUGGCACGCUCGUCGGACUAGAACUCCUCGCCUAGCACCCGAGCGCACCUGAGAUGCCAAAGGGUUGGGGAGGCCUAAGUCCACUUCCCUGCUCUUGGGCCUCUCCCAGGCCACCAAGCAACAGCAACCUCCACCCUCAUUGUCCCGCAAACCUGGUCAUUUCAAGACUAUUACUGGAGGAUUUCAGCAUCUGUCCCUGCAACAACAUCCACACACGCAUUGGUAUGACUUAUUGAAUAUAAGGCCCUUUGUAGAUGUAGGUUUAAACCACUUCACAUUUAAUGAUAUAAUAAGUUAUUUGUGUCCUCAAAUACAAGAUAUGUUGGACUGUUUUCCAGUCUCCUAGAUUGCAAUACCAGCCUCCUAUGUGUUACCUGGUUAGCUCAUCCUCAUUUUUCAGUUCUCAACUCUGGUUAAGGUCUCUGGUUCCCCCCCAAUUGGCAUUAUUGUUGCUCCUUUAAUUUGUUCUUGCCCCUUAUACUCAGCACCAUUAUGGUAGUUCUAUUUCAUCUGUUUGCACAUCUGUCUGAUAUCUUCAGGUCAGCGACUGUGUCUUGUCCCUUCCUAGGGCCAGCCGCUAACUGUAGCUCCUGAUCUAUAUAUUAAAUGUUCAAUAAAAGUCUGUGGAAUGAAUGAAACAGUCACACCACAUUCAAUGAGUCACAGAUAUCACUUCAGCAAUACAAACUCGUUUAUAUAAUAAAGUUAUAAAAGUCAUUGAGAAAACAUCAAGUUAUCCAAAGAACAACACUGCAAGUGAACUAAAGGACUGUGUCUCAGAUUACUUGAUAACUCAGAGGAUAAGAAUUCCCCCAGUCCUUCUAAUCUUAUGUUGCUUUUGGAAGCAAUCAGCCCUGGGAAACAAAAGGGGCAGUGUACUGGGAGAUCAGAGUGGAAGCCACAGUGGUUACUGGACAAUAGAACACUCACUGGACCCGAACUAUUGUUGUCACAGGAGCCGAGGGACUGGGAUUCUACUACAUCAGGGUAGGGUGUUGUUGUGCUUUGAUUGUCCCUACCAAAACCCAUGCUGAACUUCAUCCCCAGUGUCAGAUAUGAAGAGGUGGGACCCUCAAGAGGUGACUGGGUCUGCCAUAAAUGGAUUAAUCCAUUCAUGGAUUAAUGGAUCUGUUAUAAAAGCCAGUUUGGCUGUGUCUCUUGUAUGUGCCCCCUACACAUCCUCAUCAGGAUUCUGCAGAGAGUCCCCACUAGCAAGAAGACCAUCACUGGAUACAGCCCCUCUACUUUGUACCUCUCAGGCUCUAGAACCAUGAGCUAAGUAAACUCCUAUUCUUUAUAAAAAUCCCUGACUCAGCUAUUCAGUUCAAACAACAGAAAAUGGACUAAAACAGGUAGAUAUCAAGAAAAUGAUCUGCCCAUCAUUGUUUAAAAGGAUGCAAAUUUUCUGACCAUCUUUCACCAAAGAGGAAUAAUGAACAUGUUUAUCUUGUGCCCCAUUCUGUUGUCAUUCGAAUGCCCAAGCCUGCAAUUUGAAAUUAAACUGUUUGCCUUUUGUGUCAAAUCCAAACACCAUGUUCAAGGAGAUUCUGUCAAGGGCAGCAUUGAGUUUGAUCCAAGGAGGGACCCUAUUGGGCCACCUAGUUUGACAAAGACCUCCUUACUAUAAUGCAAGUUUCAAUAUUAGCCUCUGUCUCCCAGAGUACCCUCAGUGCCAGGGUAGCAGGGUCUGGAGGGGCUUGGUGCUCCAUGGCUCCAACCACAGGAAAACUGAAAUUAGCCUCAUCAUCUUUGAACCUAUUCUCAACAGGUUUUGUUUCCUUUAUUUUUAGUUUUAGGAAUUUGAUUGUCACAGGGCCCUGGUCAGGACUAUUCUGGUCAAACAUGCUAGGUUUCUCUCUCACUCUCAGUCUACUGUCUUUUAGUUCAGGGAGUUGAUUCCAGAGGCACUUUGUCACUCAGCUACACUCCCAGCCCUUUUUAUUUAUAAUUUUGAGAGGGGGUCUUGAUAAGUACUUAGUGCAACGCUAAAUUGCUGAGGCUGACCUUAAACUUGCAAUCCUCCUGCCUCAGCUUCCUGAGUGGCUGGGAUUACAGGUAUGUGCCACCAUUCCCAGCUCAUGUUAAGUCUCUCUAAAUUGGCAUUUACAAGCAGUAUUCUUGAGCUUCUUAGCAAAAUUUUCCAGUUCCCUUCAGCAAAGCUGCCUUGUCCUGUAGGGCAAAGCUAAUCUGUCCU